GACGAACGCUGGCGGCGUGCUUAACACAUGCAAGUCGAACGGAAAGGCCCUGCUUUUGUGGGGUGCUCGAGUGGCGAACGGGUGAGUAACACGUGAGUAACCUGCCCUUGACUUUGGGAUAACUUCAGGAAACUGGGGCUAAUACCGGAUAGGAGCUCCUGCUGCAUGGUGGGGGUUGGAAAGUUUCGGCGGUUGGGGAUGGACUCGCGGCUUAUCAGCUUGUUGGUGGGGUAGUGGCUUACCAAGGCUUUGACGGGUAGCCGACCUGAGAGGGUGACCGGCCACAUUGGGACUGAGAUACGGCCCAGACUCCUACGGGAGGCAGCAGUGGGGAAUAGUGCACAAUGGGCGGAAGCCUGAUGCAGCAACGCCGCGUGCGGGAUGACGGCCUUCGGGUUGUAAACCGCUUUCGCCUGUGACGAAGCGUGAGUGACGGUAAUGGGUAAAGAAGCACCGGCUAACUACGUG
rnacentral:rRNA from 1 species